rnacentral:rRNA from 1 species
GACGAAGGUGGCGAGCGUUGUUCGGAAUCACUGGGCAUAAAGCGCACGUAGGCGGCUAAGUAAGUCGGAUGUGAAAUACCUCGGCUCAACCGAGGAACUGCGUCCGAUACUGCUUGGCUUGAGGUCCGGAGGGGAGAGUGGAAUUCCCGGUGGAGCGGUGAAAUGCGUAGAGAUCGGGAAGAACGCCGGCGGCGAAAGCGACUCUCUGGUCGGAAUCUGACGCUGAGGUGCGAAAGCUAGGGGCGCAAACGGG